rnacentral:rRNA from 1 species
UACAGAGGGUGCAAGCGUUGUUCGGAAUUAUUGGGCGUAAAGCGCUCGCAGGUGGUUCGUCGCGUCGUGCGUGAAAGACCCCGGCUCAACUGGGGGAGGUCGUGCGAUACGGGCGGACUGGAGGCCAGUAGGGGGAUGCGGAAUUCCGGGUGUAGUGGUGGAAUGCGUAGAGAUCCGGAGGAACACCAGCGGCGAAGGCGGCAUCCUGGACUGGUCCUGACACUCAUGAGCGAAAGCGUGGGGAGCGAGUCCGG